ensembl:lncRNA
GUAAUCGGGGGGAGGAGGGGGAGGCGUGUUUGCACGGUACAGGCCCGAGAUGUUUUCCUCCUUGAGAAAGCCUUGGGGCGUUCGGAGCAAACGAAACCUGCUCUGGACUUCCCCCUAAUCAGCUGCUGUCCAUCACGGCUGCCCCCGCUCCGUUGCCGCCGAGUCAGGUCGUUCCGGAGAACAGGUACCGACCGACAAGUUUCACCGGAUAAAUCGGUGCCAACGGCCGCGAAGCUGUUCCAUGGAGACGGACAACCCGGAAGCUGUCCCUGUGGUGGACGACACGGAGUUUGGCGGAGCACACCGGUGAUCACAGAGUCGCUGGGAACCGGAUUGGGUGACGAAGAACAGCUGCCCCCCUCCCCCAGGUCCAGCAUUAUAUAGCAACUACCAGGCAAAAAUCCUGGUGCGGCCCACGGGCGGGACAAAUAGAAUAUACAGUAUGUUGUAGCGGCCAAUGGCUGCCGAGCCGGGGUCGGACAAUUUGAUGACUAUUUAUUACGACCACUACCUCUACAAAGAAUAGAGUUGUGUCGCACUCUUCCUAGCCGCUAACGCUGCCGCUAUUUCAUACAGUAAAUGGCGUCGUAUGCCAUGGGUCGGCUUAGUCGCCAGAAUUCAGCUCGAGUGAUACCUCCUGUUCCAUUUGCAUCUGUGUGGCUAGUUUACCGGCACUAGCAUUUGGGCCUAGCAACUAGAGGCUAAUGCUAAUGCUAGUCUUAAUUUUAGCUCCCUCGGUAGAGCGCCUGUCUCCCAUGCAGAGGUCGGUCGGGGGAGGGGUUCGAAGCCCCCCAUUGACACAUUAUAAGAGUCCCCCCCACACCGCUUCUGCUUUUUUUAUUUUCCACAAAUCGCACCCUGUUUAUACAGUCUAAACGGCGUCGCAGGCGGCGGGUCGCCAGAAGUCAGCUGGAGUGAUACCUCCUGCCCCAUUUGCAUCUGUGUGAGUCAGCCGGGUUUACCGGUAGUUACCUCCGGCUCUCGGAAGACAGCGAGCGGACUCGACUCCGGCGAUGAGCAGCUUCCGGUGGCGUGACUGGUGGGAGAGUGAGACGUGGUUCAGACGUGUCCGGAAACACUGAGAAGUCGGUGAUUCCAACUUAUACUGAACUUGCGAUGGUCGCGAGUAUGUCGACACUGGCCUCUUCCCCGGAGGGUCGGGUAGGUACGCGCCAUUUUUUCUUUUAAAACCACCCAGUCAUCAGGCCAAGGUGGGGGUCGACGUCAUGAGGGGGCGUGUCCUUGAAGUGCGUGCGCAGGGUUCGCAUUAGGGCUGCAACUAACACAUUUUUUUCAUCAUCGAUUAAUCUGUCGAUUAUUUUCUCGAUUAAUAGAUCAGUUGUUUGUUCCAUUAAAUGUCAUAAGAUGGUGAAAAAAUGUUGAUCGUGCUUUCCAAAACCCAAAAUUAAGUUUUGUAUUUUUCCACACACUAAAGAUAUAUUAGGUUUACUGUCAUGAGGAGCAAAGAAAACAAGAACAUAUUCACAUUUAAGGCGCUGAAAUCAGAGAAUUUAGAGGGUUUUUUUCCGCCCAUAAAUAUCACUACAAGGUGAAUAGUGCAAUUCUCACACUCCCUUUGGCUCUGGUCGGAAUCUCUACUAACUCGUGGCUCUGCAGCCGCUGAUUGGUGCCGGACACGUCGCGUACAGUCGGCUUGUCAGAGCUUCCUUUUGCUGAAAACACCUUCCCGAUUUUGACCAAAACAAAGACCUAAAAGACGCUAAAACGCCCCCUCGUUCUCUGGGGCCCUGCAGAUGAUAUGGAUGAUAAUUCUCUGUGGGUUUUACCACGAAUCUUAUUGCCAUAAUAGUAUUGUUUAAUAGGGAUGGCCCGAUCCAAUAUUCCAUAUCGGUAUCGGGGCAAUAUUGGCCAAAAUGACUGGAUCGGAUAUCAGAAGGAAAAAAAAGGAAAACCCGAUCCGAUAUAUUGCAGUAAACAUACCAAAUAAAUGCCUACUUUCAUAUCUACUAAGCCUUGAACGACAUUCAAGCAUCAUAUUUUUAUGUUAAUUUUUUAUUAUUUAAUUAACAGUUCAACAAUUCUGCCAAAAGUCAUGUUGCUGGCUAUGUAUGUCGUCCUUUAGGGGAGUUGAUUAUUUGUCUUACAGUUGAGUAUGAGGUUUUACAUGGCUAGGUUAAGCAAAGUGCAUCCUAAACAAUGCAUUAUUAAUAUUUUAAUUUAAGAGUGGGGUAAAAAUUGUAUCAGAUUAGUAUCGGAUCAGAACUCAAGGUUUGCAGGAUCAGUAUCGGAUCAGACACAAAAAAGUGUUGUCGUGCCAUCCCUGAUUGUUAAUACAAAAAUAUUGAUCACAGCAGUUCAAUGCUUCGGCAUGCACACCUUGACAGUACGAUACAUUUUUUUCCUGUGGAAAAACAAAGCACAAGGUGAGGAAGACCAUAGGAAGUACGGAAGAGCAGUAGAAGAGUGAACGCAGCAGGCGGCAGGGAGAUAAAGAAAAAAAAGAAAGGGAAGA